rnacentral:rRNA from 1 species
AGUGAACGCUGGCGGCAUGCCUAACACAUGCAAGUCGAACGGUAACGGGCCCGCAAGGGUGCCGACGAGUGGCGGACGGGUGAGGAAUGCAUCGGAAUCUGCCCGGUUGUGGGGGAUAACCUAGGGAAACUUAGGCUAAUACCGCAUACGACCGAGAGGUGAAAGCGGGGGAUCGCAAGACCUCGCGCGAUCGGAUGAGCCGAUGUCGGAUUAGCUAGUUGGUGGGGUAAGGGCCCACCAAGGCGACGAUCCGUAGCUGGUCUGAGAGGAUGAUCAG